rnacentral:rRNA from 1 species
UAGCUAGUUGGUGAGGUAAAGGCUUACCAAGGCGACGAUCUGUAGCGGGUCUGAGAGGAUGAUCCGCCACACUGGAACUGAGACACGGUCCAGACUCCUACGGGAGGCAGCAGUGGGGAAUUUUGGACAAUGGGGGCAACCCUGAUCCAGCCAUGCCGCGUGAGUGAAGAAGGCCUUCGGGUUGUAAAGCUCUUUCGGCCGGGAAGAAAUCGCAUGGGCCAAUACCCUGUGUGGAUGACGGUACCGGAAUAAGAAGCACCGGCUAACUACGUGCCAGCAGCCGCGGUAAUACGUAGGGUGCGAGCGUUAAUCGGAAUUACUGGGCGUAAAGCGUGCGCAGGCGGUUUUGUAAGACAGGCGUGAAAUCCCCGGGCUUAACCUGGGAACUGCGUUUGUGACUGCAAGGCUAGAGUACGGCAGAGGGGGGUGGAAUUCCACGUGUAGCAGUGAAAUGCGUAGAGAUGUGGAGGAACACCAAUGGCGAAGGCAGCCCCCUGGGUCGAUACUGACGCUCAUGCACGAAAGCGUGGGUAGCAAACAGGAUUAGAUACCCUGGUAGUCCACGCCCUAAACUAUGUCAACUAGGUGUUGGGUGGGUAAAACCAUUUAGUACCGUAGCUAACGCGUGAAGUUGACCGCCUGGGGAGUACUGCCGCAAGGUUAAAACUCAAAGGAAUUGACGGGGACCCGCACAAGCGGUGGAUGAUGUGGAUUAAUUCGAUGCAACGCGAAAAACCUUACCUACCCUUGACAUGCCAGGAACUUGCCAGAGAUGGCUUGGUGCCCGAAAGGGAGCCUGGACACAGGUGCUGCAUGGCUGUCGUCAGCUCGUGUCGUGAGAUGUUGGGUUAAGUCCCGCAACGAGCGCAACCCUUGUCGUUAAUUGCCAUCAUUUAGUUGGGCACUUUAACGAGACUGCCGGUGACAAACCGGAGGAAGGUGGGGAUGACGUCAAGUCCUCAUGGCCCUUAUGGGUAGGGCUUCACACGUCAUACAAUGGUUGGUACAAAGGGUUGCCAAGCCGCGAGGCGGAGCCAAUCCCAGAAAGCCGAUCGUAGUCCGGAUUGCAGGCUGCAACUCGCCUGCAUGAAGUCGGAAUCGCUAGUAAUCGUGGAUCAGCAUGUCACGGUGAAUACGUUCCCGGGUCUUGUACACACCGCCCGUCACACCAUGGGAGCGGGUUCCGCCAGAAGUAGGUAGCCUAACCGCAAGGGGGGCGCUUACCACGGCGGGGUUCGUGACUGGGGUGAAGUCGUAACAAGGUAGCCGUAGGGGAACCUGCGGCUG